CCUACGGGUGGCAGCAGUGGGGGAUCUUGCACAAUGGGGGGAACCCUGAUGCAGCGACUCCGCGUGGGUGAAGAAGCGCCUCGGCGCGUAAAGCCCUGUCAGCAGGGAAGAAAAUGACGGUCCCUGAAGAAGCAGCCCCGUCUAACUACGUGCCCGCAGCCGCGGUACUACGUAGUGGGCAAGCGUUAUCCGGAUUUACGGGGUGUAAAGGGGGCGCAGACGGCGAUGCAAGCCAGGGGUGAAAGCCCGGGGCACAACCCCGGGACUGCCCUUGGAACUGCGUGGCUGGAGUGCAGGAGGGGCAGGCGGAAUGUCUGGUGUAGCGGUGAAAUGCGUAGAUAUCAGGAGGAACACCGGUGGCGAAGGCGGCCUGCUGGACUGCAACUGACGUUGAGGCACGAAAGCGUGGGGAGCAAACAGGAUUAGAUACCCCAGUAGUC
rnacentral:rRNA from 1 species